rnacentral:rRNA from 1 species
AGGAAAAGAAACUAACAAGGAUUCCCCUAGUAACGGCGAGUGAAGCGGGAAGAGCUCAAAUUUGAAAUCUGGCAGUCUUCGAUUGUCCGAGUUGUAAUCUAUAGAGGCGUUUUCCGUGCCGGACCGUGUCCAAGUCUCCUGGAAAGGAGUAUCAAAGAGGGUGAUAAUCCCGUACUUAACACGACCACCGGUGCUCUGUGAUACGUCUUCUACGAGUCGAGUUGUUUGGGAAUGCAGCUCAAAAUGGGUGGUGAAUUCCAUCUAAAGCUAAAUAUUGGCGAGAGACCGAUAGCGAACAAGUACCGUGAGGGAAAGAUGAAAAGCACUUUGGAAAGAGAGUUAAACAGUACGUGAAAUUGUUGAAAGGGAAACGAUUGAAGUCAGUCGUGUUCUUUGGAUUCAGCCAGUUCUGCUGGUCUACUUCCUUGGAACGGGUCAACAUCAGUUUUGUCCGGUGGAUAAAGGUAGUAGGAAUGUGACUUCUCCGGAAGUGUUAUAGCCUAUUAUCACAUACACUGGGUGAGACUGAGGACUGCAGCUCGCCUUUAUGGCCGGCCUUCGGGCACGUACGAGCUUAGGAUGUUGACUUAAUGGCUUUAAACGAC